AACUAAUGAACUUGUAUAAGUAUAUACUUUGAAAGUAUAAAAAAGAAAUAACAAUUUUCUAUUAGUUU
rnacentral:tRNA from 1 species